UUUCGUCUCUGCCGGACAUCCCAUAAAAAUGGAACGAUACAGGAAAGAUUGGCAUGGCCCCUACUCAAGGGUGACAAGCACAUCCAUUAUUGUUUUUCAUUUUAA